CCCAGACUCCUACGGGAGGCAGCAGUGAGGAAUAUUGGUCAAUGGGCUUACGCCUGAACCAGCCAAGUCGCGUGAGGGAAGACUGCCCUAUGGGUUGUAAACCUCUUUUGUCAGGGAGCAACGCCGGCUACGUGUAGCCGGACUGAGAGUACCUGAAGAAAAAGCAUCGGCUAACUCCGUGCCAGCAGCCGCGGUAAUACGGAGGAUGCGAGCGUUAUCCGGAUUUAUUGGGUUUAAAGGGUGCGUAGGCGGAAGGCCAGGUCAGGGGAAAAACCGCGGGGCACACCCGCGCUCCGCCGUUGAAACUGGCGUUCUUGAGUGGGCGAGAAGUAGGCGGAAUGCGUGGUGUAGCGGUGAAAUGCA
rnacentral:rRNA from 1 species